GGGCCCGCACAAGCGGUGGAGCAUGUGGCUUAAUUCGAGGCAACGCGAAGAACCUUACCUGGUCUUGACAUGCCCGUCAUAGUUUUCCGAAAGGAAUUCGUCAGUUCGGCUGGACGGUGCACAGGUGCUGCAUGGCUGUCGUCAGCUCGUGUCGUGAGAUGUUCGGUUAAGUCCGGCAACGAGCGCAACCCUCGUUUCCAGUUGCCAGCGGGUAAUGCCGGGGACUCUGGAAAGACAAACCUCUUGUUGAGGUGGGAAGGUGGGGACGACGUCAAGUCAGUAUGGCCCUUACGACCAGGGCUGCACACGUGCUACAAUGCCCGGUACAAUGGGAUGCAAUAUCGCGAGAUUGAGCCAAUCCAUAAAGCCGGGCCCAGUUCGGAUUGGAGUCUGCAACUCGACUCCAUGAAGUUGGAAUCGCUAGUAAUGG
rnacentral:rRNA from 1 species